GCCGCGCCGCUCCGAUCGAAGCCGAAGGGAGCCGCUUCGAUCCGCGCACAGCCGUCUCCCGCAGCCGCCACUCGAAGCCGAUCCGCCGCGCGUGCCUCCAGCCGUCGAAGCCGAACCCACGUUUCGGCCGACGCCCGAACCCGAAACCGAUCCGCGCCCGCUCGCCCGAAACCGACCCGCGCCCGCUCGCCCGAAACCGAACCCGCUCCACGCUCGCGCACGCCCGCUCCGAGUCGCAAGCCGAGCCCGCGCGCGCCCAUCCCACGCCACGAGCCGCGCCGGUCUGCACCACAAGCCGCGCCGCGCCGCCUGCACUGCAAGCCGAGCCGCGCCUCCUUGCUGACGCGAGCCGAGCCGCACGCGCAAGAUCCUUGCGCCAAGCCGAGCCGAGCCGAUCUCUGUCUCCUUCCAGCCGAGCCGCCAAGCCUAAUUUGGCUCCUUCCACCUAAUUUUUGGGACGUCUUGGACCAAGUAACUGCUGCAGCGGGGGAUUUCUUCAGUAGGGGCUUGAGCACUGCAAUCUCCUUCUAGGUUAGGACCUCGUCGCUUGGAAAGCGUACUGCCUCGCGGUUAGGACUCGUCAAGUAAAUCUCCAGGUAAGAGAUUCUACUACUAGCUCCACGCUUAGAAAUAUGAGAUGAUGUAUACUCCAAUUUUGCAUGUUGGGGAUUGGACGGUACGAUGCCUGAAAUCAAUGUUAGUAUGAUGUAAAUGACGGUAUGGCUAUACUAUAGCCUGUUAUGUGUGGCGAGAGCCGUUAUAGUUAUACGACGAAUGUCGAGACGGAGAGGGUAGAGAUGAUUUAUAUGAUAUGUUAUAUGCUGAUGCCAUGUGUAUGUAUACUGCACUUAGGGUACCUGUUAGCUCGAUCUGUUAGAGUCGUACCUGCAUGGGUGUCCUUCGGGAUCACCACCUAUUGAGGACUGUGUGGUCCGACGGGACGCCAGUCUAGCAUGGAUAUAGAUAUGACUCGAGUGACUCGACGGGGUCCUCGCAUCCCGACUGUCCUAGGUGUCCCUCGGGGCACCGAAGACCAGAGUUACGUUCCUACGGGAGCGCAUGAUUGCACGUGUUCGGGAACGUGCCAGAGAUUGGGUACCAGUUAUCAGGACUCUAACAGGAAGUUAACAGGCACCUAGUGGGACUAGUAGUGGGUCCCUUACUGAGUAUUUUUAUACUCACUCUCUUCGUUUUAUGUUUUCAGGUAGAGGACGGGGCAAGGGCAAGGGCAAGCUGGCGAGCGACCCGAAGUGAGACCGUGGAGGGCCAUAGGGACUACCGCUUCCGCUUAUUCUUAUUUCAGAUUUUCGCGUUUGAAAUUGAGUACUUUACAUCACUUACCAUCUUUUAUGUAGAUAGGGCCCGAGUAGGAUUUCAGAUUGCUUUUACGUUUCUGCAUGACUACCUUGUUUGAAUUUUAUAAAUAAAAUUUCUUAAACCG